UAUUAUCAUUAUUGUUAUUAUUAUAACAAAUGUCAAUUUUGGCCUGGUUGCCAAUGAGAUCUUCAUAGAGCGGUAAUCGGUAAAACUAGAGAAGGCUAAGGCUUUGGAAUCAAGCUCAGGUUCAAUAUUGUUGGUUGAGUUGUUAUGUUUCAUCGUUUACUUUAAAUUUGAAAAUAUACUUUGCUUUUUACCAGUUUCGGUUCAGUUGAAAUUAAUAAUAAUAAGAUUAUUUCUGAUAAAAAAAAUUACGGCCUGGUUUACUGUUCAGGUUUUG
rnacentral:misc_RNA from 1 species